rnacentral:misc_RNA from 1 species
GUGAAUCAUCGAAUUUUUGAACGCAAAUUGCACUCUCUGCGGAGAGGAUGCGUGUUUGUGGGUCAGGAUUAGUAAAAAUCGGUGUGUUGCUGCUGUGGGACGCUCCGGAGUUGGGGUCAUCUUAAUAUCCUUUAGGUUUUAAGAGGCUUAAAAUUGACUUUUUUUGCUCAUUUUAGAUGUACAUAAAUUCUUUUUUUUAUUCGUCUUUCUUAAUGUUCAUAAUCCUAUUAGAUGCGGCGAUAUGGUGU